rnacentral:tRNA from 1 species
GCUGUAGCUCAGUUGGCUAGAGCGCCAGAUUGUGGCUCUGGAGGUCGUGGGUUCGAGACCCACCAG